rnacentral:tRNA from 1 species
GCAUAGCUCAGUGGUAGAAUGUAUGCCCAACAUAUACAAGGCCCUGGGUUCAAUCCCCAGCACAGCA